AGGUCAUAGUGAGUGCAGGACCACUGCCACAAAGGGAAGGAGCAGGCGGCUGAACAGCCUGAGCUGAAAUGCUGUGUCCUCUCCCACCGCUUGGAGGAUAGACUCAAAUACUAAUGGAGUGCAAGUCAAAGCAGAGAUCUGGAAAAGGCCUGACCCAAGACUGGAAGCUCUAUUUAACCUAGAGAAGGGGGCUGCAUGGGACGACAGAUAGAUGAGGCUCUAGGACGGGCACAAAUGCUACCCGAAUGCAAACCACUCCGGAGAUCUGUAAAAGGACUGGCCCCGGACAGGAAGCACACUUUAAACUAGAGGCGGGGAUUGAAGGGUUCUCCCUAUGCUGCUUUGAGCGCUGCUAUUGGGUGCCUUGAGGGGACCUCAAGUAAGCUCCAUUUUUGAAACAUGAGUCAAAGCCCCGGUGAAGAUUCUGUGACGGUUCAUUGUAUAAUUUAUGAUGAUGAAGAUUGAGUUGCAUUUUGCGGAAAAGAGAUGUUGAGAUAUCUAAGGCAUUGAGAAAUCUGUCAUGCAGACAUGCACACAGGGAGAGGGAGUACCCAAACUGAUGAGAACUUACAGGAAUUGGACCAUCUAAGCCCUUAGAAAGUGAAGUCCACUGUGUCUCAAACAAAGAUCUUCAUCCACAUCUUGAAGUUUGAAGUUUGGCCAAGAAUAUACAAAAUAGAUUCUCUUUCUCAGGAUGGCAAGUGUUCAUGACAUCAAUACUACCCAAGGCUUCAGAGUCAUUGGAUUGCAGGUGUGUGACAUUUUUCCUACCUGUUGAAUUUUUCCAAAGAGUAUGAGGGUUUUGCCAGUGUGCAUGUAUAUCAUGUGUGCCUCAUCUUUACUGUAGUCAGAUGGCAGCCUCAGAACACUUAAACUUGAAGUAAUGAGCAGUUGUGGGUCCUCAUGUAAAUACUGGCCAUUGACCUCCUUUUUGUGGAAGACCAGAAAGAGCUUUCCACUGCUGAACUAUCUCCCUGCCCUAUGUUGCUCAUUUAUGAUCCACAUUUAUAUUACUAGUAUUUUCAUCUAUCCAUUUGUAAC
rnacentral:lncRNA from 1 species